AAUGAACGCUGGCGGCGUGCCUAAUACAUGCAAGUCGAGCGGAAGUUGGAGAGCUUGCUCUUCAACUUUAGCGGCGGACGGGUGAGUAACACGUGGGCAACCUGCCCUGCAGAUCGGGAUAACUCCGGGAAACCGGUGCUAAUACCGAAUAGUUUUCGCCACCUCCUGGUGGCGUACGGAAAGACGGUUUCGGCUGUCACUGCAGGAUGGGCCCGCGGCGCAUUAGCUAGUUGGUGGGGUAACGGCCCACCAAGGCGACGAUGCGUAGCCGUCCUGAGAGGGUGAUCGGCCACACUGGGACUGAGACACGCCCCAGACUCCUACGGGAGGCAGCAGUAGGGAAUCUUCCGCAAUGGACGAAAGUCUGACGGAGCAACGCCGCGUGAGUGACGAAGGUUUUCGGAUCGUAAAACUCUGUUGUGAGGGAAGAACAAGUACCAACUAACUACUGGUACCUUGACGGUACCUCACCAGAAAGCCACGGCUAACUACGUGCCAGCCGCCGCGGUAA
rnacentral:rRNA from 1 species